rnacentral:snRNA from 1 species
GGAUGUGAGAGUGAUCUGGCUACGACAUCUGUCACCCCAUUGAUCACCAGGGUUGAUUCGGCUGAUCUGGCCGACUGGCUAGGCGGGUGUCCCCUUCCCUCCCCACUGCUCCAUGUGUGUCCCUCCCAAAGCUGUAUGCCAAGUCGAAGAGGAGGACCAUCCCCGAUAGAGGACCAUUCUUCUGUUAAGGGUAUACAAGUAGCUGCGCUCCCCUGCCAGAAUCUCCAGACAAGCUCUCAAGAAUGGUUUAGUUCCAGAAAUUUCCAUUUAAUACUUUUGGACCUGGUUGACCACAGGUAGCUUAAA